UCAAAAUGAUCCAUGAGGCUGCUAUGAGGAUUACAUAUAUUGGCAUCUAAAAUGCUCAUAACAAUAUUUGGUUCAGAGUGUAGUAUGAUUCUAAAAUGUAGUUUUAUUAAACUUGCCAAGCAAGGAAGACCCAUGUUCAGAAACACAACCUUUCCAAAGAAAACCUGAAAAAAAUGUUUGACACAUUCUAGGAAAGCACAUCAGAUUUUGAAGAACUCUAUCAAAUAUAGGAGACAAUUCUGAAUGGCUUCUAGAUUCAAGCGAGAGUGUUUUAACAUACCUGACAUUCUGAUAUGUUCCAGGUUAAAGCUGGUUUGUUUUUAAUAUUGUUGAUAUGAUCUCAAAUAGUAAAAGAAGAGGCUUUCUAGAACUGCAUCCUUGCUGCUCACCAGCUGGAAUGCUGUGGAUAGUGCUCAAUAAACUUUACUUGUUAUUACUAUUGUUACUGUCGCUAUUUAAGUGAACAUUGCCACCUAUGCUUUUUUAUGUGGCCUUUGUGCCCAGUGACCUUGGGCAAGUUACUCAACAGCUUUCAACCUCCUUUUUCUCAUUAGCAGAUGGAGAUAAAACAAUACCUAUAUGAUCAAGUUAGAUUGCCAUGAAGGUUAGUAAUAAUAUACAUAAUUGCACUAUCAUGAAGGUUUUUCAUUAAUAAUUACCCUGUUUUGGCUCAAAUGACUAAAAUAUCUUUUGGAAAACACACCUGUCCCUGACUUGGCUUGUGGCCAGCCAGGCUUACCAGGUGGGAAAAUGUACUGUCAGAUAGGUACAGUAUCAGUUAAUGUUCAGUGUAAUAGUUCAUUUCUUGACUCAGCAGGAAGUGCUUGCAUAUUAUUGUUGUGGAAUAUUUCAGACUGCUACAGUUUCCAUUACAGAAGUCUCCCCCUUAUCUGUGGUUUUUCUUUGUCAUUUCAGUUAUCAAUUCAUGGGUCAAUUGUGCUCUGAAAAUAUUAAAAGGAAAUAAACAUUUCCAGAGAAAUAAACAUUUCAUAGGUUUUAAACUGCAAACUGAGUAGCAUAUUGAAAUAUCUGCCUUUUCGCUCCAUCCUGCCCCAGACAUGAAUUAG
rnacentral:lncRNA from 1 species